GGGACACUAGUAUAAACCAUUACAUCGCCUUGUCAAGGCGAAAUUGCAGGUUAAAGCCCUGCGUAUCCCUG
rnacentral:tRNA from 2 species